rnacentral:lncRNA from 1 species
ACACAGCAAUACAACAGGUGGCCCUGAAUUUAAUACUGCCAUUAAACAAGCUCUUUUAUUCAGCCAGAAGAGAUGUGGUGGCUGCAAAGAUGGACUGUGCACAAUUUCAUUGUGCUCCAUGAAGGGCUACCCUCACCUGGCUCGGUAUUCCAUGGAAGGCUGGCCUGGCUGAGCCUGUGGGCUUCAGAACCAUCCACAGUGUGCUCAUGUAAAGUUGCCUGAGCUUAUGGAAGAUUUUGAAGGCCUGGAUUCCAUGUGUUGAGACUGGCACCAUAUCAGAGGAACAGCUGAGUAUAUGGAGCAGGGAAGCUACGUGAGAGCAGCUCUGAAUGUGACAGUCUGCAGACUUGGGCAUCAGUUCAGCCAGCUUCCUCAUCUCAGCGUAUCUGCAGAUCCACCCAGCAGCCGUGGUGUCCCCUGCGCUCCAGCAGCACGCCAGGGAGCCCGAGGGGAUGGCAGCAAAGGGGGCACACAGAGGGAAGAGAAGGGGAUGCACUGGAAUAAUCUACUGAGUUCAGUUCUGGGUCCCUCAAGAUUCCCAGAAUUCACAGAAUGACUAGGUUGGAAGAGACCCUCAAGAUCACCAAGUCCGACCCAUGCCCUGACACCUCAACAUGAUCCACAUGGAGGUGCUGGGUCAUGUCCAGGGAAGGGAAUGGAGAUGGGAAAGGCUCUGGAGCACAGUUCUGGUGAGGGAUGGCUCAGGGGGGCUCAGAUCCCAGAGCAGUGAUGGAGUGAGGGGUGAUGGAGCCCCUCUGCCACCACCACACCACUGCCCACAGGAUAACCCUGAGUGAACAGCCAGCUGUGAGAUCAUGGAUGAUGUGAGGUGAAUGCAGGAUGCUUUGGGAAGGGUAAGUGACCCCUGAAAUGAGCUUUAACCAAACCCUGGUGCCCUCUGCACUCAGCUGUGUCCAUCCAAGGUGAGAGGGAAGGAGGCUGGUGGGAGCUUAGCCUUGCUGGAGCUGCACACUCCUGACAGGCUGAGGAGCUCUGCAGGACUGGCUGCUUGAAUCAGGGCUCUCUGCAGUGCCCUGCACAUCUCCCCUCUGGAAAAGGCACUGGCAGAGCAGAGGCAAAGGGGGGUCCAAGCAGAGCUGUCAGUGCUCAUUGUCACAAAGAGCUUCAGUGCAGCACCAGGAGCAGCCCACGUUCCCAGGCAGGGGCAGGGCAGGCUGAGAUCUCCACUGGACACUGCUGGUACUGAUAUUUUUAUCUCAAGGAGCCCAGAAAUCAGAACUACACACCCCAGAGCCCAGCCUAGAAGGGACAAACACUUCAAUCACCAGCACAGCAUCAGGAGCUUGCCCUGAGCAGGGCCAGGACACCCACUGGAGGUGCUGGGGAAGCAGAACCUCAAACAGCCUUGCACAGCCUGAACCUCUCCAACACAGAGCAA